GACGAACGCUGGCGGCGUGCUUAACACAUGCAAGUCGAACGGAAAGGCCCUGCUUUUGUGGGGUGCUCGAGUGGCGAACGGGUGAGUAACCCGUGAGUAACCUGCCCUUUACUUUGGGAUAACUUCAGGAAACUGGGGCUAAUACCGGAUAGGAGCUCCUGCUGCAUGGUGGGGGUUGGAAAGUUUCGGCGGUUGGGGAUGGACUCGCGGCUUAUCAGCUUGUUGGUGGGGUAGUGGCUUACCAAGGCUUUGACGGGUAGCCGGCCUGAGAGGGUGACCGGCCACAUUGGGACUGAGAUACGGCCCAGACUCCUACGGGAGGCAGCAGUGGGGAAUAUUGCACAAUGGGCGGAAGCGUGAUGCAGAAACGCCGCGUGCGGGAUGACGGCCUUCGGGUUGUAAACCGCUUUCGCCUGCGACGAAGCGUGAGUGACGGUAAUGGGUAAAGAAGCAACGGCUAACUACGUG
rnacentral:rRNA from 1 species